ACUUUUUUUUUUAAUGUUUUUUAUUAUAUAGGGGUAAGGGUAGGGGAAAUGGAAGAGAGGAUUACAACAUGGGAAUUCGAACCCUCUCACUAUUUCCUUUGUCUGGUUACAUUUUUUUUUUAAAUAAUUUUUUUAAUUACAUAGGGGUAGGGAAAGGGGAUUAUAAUGUGGGGAUUUGAACUCUCACCAAUAAUGUGAGAGUUCAGGUAGUCAACCAACUGAGCUACUAGAUUCCUACCUUUGUCUCUGGUUAUGUUAUGUUCCUUUUUCUGUUUUUUUUUUAUGACAUGGGAACCGCACCCUUUACCCUUUGGGUGCGCACCUCCUGUGCAAUAGCUCGCAAACCACAUGGGAGAGAUAACCCGCACUAGCUAAGCCCCGUGCAACGAGCUCAACCCAGAAGAUAAAUCCCCUGCUGUUGUUAGCAGGGGGUUUCGAACCGGAGACCUCCAUUAUGAAAGCCCCAUGUUCAAUCAACUGAGCCACCCUUGCAGUAAAAAGUUUCUGUUUUUCCCGUGGUCCAUUCUCUGUUUCCUGAUGUUUGUAUAAUUUUCAUUAUUUUAAAAAAAAAUAUUUGAUGCUAAUUUCUUGGAUGAUUAAAUUGAUGUCGUUAGUUAUUAAGUGCAUUAUUUUUUUUCAGUAGUCUUUCUGUAUUUGAAGAAGCUUGCAUUUUUUCUAUUUGUAAAAUUAUUUUUCUGAAUAAUGAGACUUUCUGAAGGGAGCAAGCCUCGGGUUAUAGACUUGUGGAUUUGUUUAUAUCCGCUGAAAUUGGGAGACAUAUGUGCCAGCCCCUUUCUUUUGCUUGUAAUAAACAUAUGCUGACUCAAGGUGUUGCUUUGAAGCUCAAUAAUUGUGAAGCCUUGAAGAAGUAUCUAGAUGAUACUCUAUAUAUAUUGAAGAAGAUGAGAAUGAUUUGGUUUUCUAUGCCAUUCAGAAAGAGAGGCUUAUGGACAAUUUUCCAACAUGGAACAUGCCCAAGAAACAUCUAGAUAUCACCAAGCUCAAAUUCUUUUAGCUAGGGAAAGGGAAGAAGAGAAAGAGGAUAAUUCAAAUGCUCCACCUGAAGAAGUUUCCCAAACGCCAAAUAAUGAAACUGAUAGAAAGCGUCAAUUGGCACUGAAAUUCCUGAUUUGGACCAAGCAGAUAAGGAUCAAUGUCAUGAAGCACUCACUUCAAAUAUACAUGACGAACUUUCCACACAAGUUCUGGUCAUUUCCAUGAAGUUGAAGUUCAUGACAUAACUUCUAUAUAUACCCACAGCAAGCAAUGCCUGCAGCAGUUCAAUCCUACGAGUUCCUUUUCCAGAUAACCUCACUUGAUUUUUUGGCAAAAUUUCAGCUUGAUUUCAAUGUGUGCAUAUGUGAAGGUAAGUCCAUAACGUCAUGUUUUCUCUUGGACAACCUAAUGCGAUGGUAACAUCUUUACCUUUUGUAAUCAACUUUGGUCUUUUGCUAGCUUUCGGUUUUAACUUUCUCUACUUUUGAUAUUUCAGCUGACUCAAAUAAAGAAAGGUUUAAACCAUAAAUCUA